UGUCACUGGAUGACCCGUGACUGGGCAGAUUCAGUGGCGGUAUUGUUGUAAGAAAAGGCGUCUGGUAUCGGCCACCCAGUACUUUUCUAAAAACUUUGUAAAAGCUCAGCUAAAUUUCAGCACUAUAGAAAAUGAAACCUUAGCAUUACUUUUUGCUUUGCAGCACUUUGAGGUGGAAGUCCUUUACCUGUAAUAGUUUUUACUGACCAUAACCCAACGGUUGAUGUGAUGGUCUCUGGUGGUCCAGGGAUUCAACAUACAGUAUCUGACAAAACAUGGCAUCCAACUGGUCAGCGAGGUCAUCGAACAUGCUUCCAAUAUCAUCAAGAAUGUUGACUGUGCUUUUAAAACAUAAGAAACCCCUUUAAGGCUGUGAUGAUGUCCUUUACAUGUGCUCCUUGUCCAUCGGCAGGUUCAAGUAGCAUGACGUCACUGAACACAAAAGGUAAACGGGUGAUGACCUUCCCCUUGAUAUAAUGGGUUUUGUACUGUAAAAAGACACAAAUUGUAUAUGAUUCUGACUCAGGAUCAAAUUCCAUAUUAAACACAAUAUUGAACUGUACAUUGAAUUGGUAUUUAAAGGCAUGUCAUUGGAAUACUCCAAUAUUCGGCUGAAGGGAGCCAUAGGCCGACUUUUUCAAGAGGACCAGGGAUUGUAUCUCUGAGACCAGUCCUGAGCUUGAAAACUUUUGUCUGGAAGUGUGAAAAUGACCUUAGUUUAAAUCAAACUGUUUUAUCUGUCUGCAUUAAGAAAUCAAACCAGUGAAUAUGUUGAAGUUGU